UCUCAAUUUGGUGUGAUCUCACUGUAGUUGAAGACAGCUGUAUUUGUUCACUUCUUUUCGGCAAAGGAGAUUUUAUGGGGAUCAAAGAUUUUGUGGCACACGAAUAUGACUUGGGUUGAUGUGUUGGGGAUCAAAGUUAUGUAUUCUUAGUGUUGUUAGAUGGAUGAUGGACUUGGGUUGUUGAACUUGUAAACUUUGUUGAACAAGAUGGAUCUUGUAUGUAAACUUUGUUGAAAUCUUUAUAUUUCUUGAAUUA